rnacentral:rRNA from 1 species
GCGCAAGCGUUAUCCGGAAUUAUUGGGCGUAAAGAGCUCGUAGGCGGUUUGUCGCGUCUGCCGUGAAAGUCCGGGGCUCAACUCCGGAUCUGCGGUGGGUACGGGCAGACUAGAGUGAUGUAGGGGAGACUGGAAUUCCUGGUGUAGCGGUGAAAUGCGCAGAUAUCAGGAGGAACACCGAUGGCGAAGGCAGGUCUCUGGGCAUUAACUGACGCUGAGGAGCGAAAGCAUGGGGAGCGAACAGG